rnacentral:rRNA from 1 species
UAAGAAUUUAAAAGUYGAACAGACUUAUUAUUAAGAAUACUGCCUCUUAAAAUUUUCUUAAUUCAACAUCGAGGUCGCAAAAUAUAAUAUAGAUGUGAACUCCCCAUUAAAAUUACGCUGUUAUCCCUAAGGUAACUUAAUCUUACUAUCCUUAAUUUAGGGAUCCAAAAUUACAUAGACAAAUGAAUACAAAAGCUAAAGUUAAUUAUUUAACUGCCACCCCAGCAAAAUAUAAAUUAAUAUUAAAAAAUAUAUACAUUAAAACCUAAUAAAAUUUAAUUAUAUAAAGUUCUAUAGGGUCUUAUCGUCCCAAUAAACUAACAAAGCAUUUUAACUUUAAAUUUAAAUUUUAACAUUUAAAAAAAUAAAAUAUAAUUCUCAUACAUCCAUUCAUACAAGCUUUCAAUUAAAAAACUAAUUACUAUGCUACCUUUGCACAGUCAAAAUACUGCAGCCAUUUAGAAAUAAAACCAUAGGGCAAAAAAUACUUUUAAUAAAAACA